GGCUGUGUGGCCCAGUGGUUAAGGCAUCUGCUUUACAAAAAUCGCAGAGGAUCGCAGGUUCGAGCCCUGCCACGGUCA